CAUAGGGGUCACAACAGCUGAGGCGCUGAGAGAAGCCCUCCCUGCCGGCAAAGCAAGAAAAAAUGGCAAAAGACAUUUUACCAGCAGUCAUUAUGGAAGGACACAAGCAUCUAGAAGAUUGGAGAAUGUCUGGUUUUCUUUGUCGCAGCAGAAAAUCUGGAACAGGCGAAGAAGGUCCAGCCAACAGUAAACACUCUUCCAGGAGAGAUUAAUCACCUAAAGAGGAAAAGAUUUGGAGACUUCUUUUCUGGCACUGGAACUUUGAGCUGAGAGCCUGGUAUGAGACAAGGACCACUUGCUCCUUGGAGAGAAUAUUCGCAGCCAAGGGA